UCCGGGUCAAGCCAUCCUGGAAGAGAGAAAUGUAGACUGAUGAUCAGUCGACGCUGUUUAGGACAAAGAGGCGAGUCUGGCUGCUUGGCUGGGGGGCUUUUCCUUUUCCAGCACAAAGGCUAGUUAGCACAGAGCAGGCAGUGCAGGCUCGUCUGUUUGUCUGAGCCUCUGCUUCUGCUUCUGUCUGGGUUCGACCGCGAUGAAGACGAUUUGUCCAACAAAUUUACCUCUUUGUCUUCCCUUUGUCAGCUCUGUUUUUUCUUUUUCCGCUGUCGCUGUCGUCUGACGUCUUGUGGGGGUUUUUCGAAAAAUGCGUGUAAAGCCUGAAAAUGUUUCUCUCUGUCUUUGCAUGUCUUUGUGUGUGCGCAGGAAUCGAGCUGAGCCUUCUCAACAAAAUAAGUUAUCUGCAGUGGAGGGAAGGGAGGAACAUGGGAAGCUUUUUUUUUUCCUUCUCUGUCCUGUGCGCAGAGACGUUUUUUUUUUUUUGGACUGCAGUCCAUGCCUCGUAAAAGGUACUAAUAAGUGGCAGUGGUUGAGGAAGAGACAGUGUUUGUGUGAGGGAAAUAGAGAGAGGGGGGGAAAGGUGUCACUCAGUGCCCUGCAGCUGACUGCGGCUCCUCAGUAGACUCUCGUACUUCACCUGCUCCCUGAGACCCUAACUUGUGAGCUCUCUUGAUAAAAAAUCACGGGUUAGGCUCUUGGGACGCGGGCGGAGGGCACAAUCGACUUUUCUACCGAAUGUUCCAAGGGUGGAGUCGGGAAUGAAGCACCAACUGAUUCACUGUAAAAAAGAAAAAAGAAACGCCUUUAUUGUCAUUUUGCACGAGAGAGAGAGCACAACGAGAUCAAGUUCGCAGCGUCCGCACUCGAUAAAUAGGAUUAAAAUGACGCAGUAAAUGUGAUGAAAUACCAAAUAAAGUGGCAAAUUAGUGGAAAUAUUUUUAUGGCAGGGAAGAAGAAGAGGAAGUAGUUGUAGUACAAUAAAGAGCAAAAUGUCUGUUGGAUUUCUGUCCCCAUCAGCUCCUCCGUCACGUCAUGUGAGUGGAUCGUAGCCCUGAUCGAACUUCACAGGAAGGAAUCUGCAUGUUUGUCAUAGCCGAUCACGAAGGGCGGCUUUCGUGGUCGCAGCAGUGUCAUCGCCAUAAAACCGAAACGCACCAAACGUCUACGCCGAGCUGUGUCGUCGGCCGACAUUGUUAUCUCUCUCUGUGUCAACAUCCUUGUUUGAAUACCGUCCGACUAACACAUGAUCUGAUUAGAAAUGGCAGGACACAAAAAAAAAGAAGCCACCACACCCCAGACCUGUGUUGAUUAACCCCUGUCACCAGCACAGCACAGUAUCCCAGCCAGUAUAUGUGAGCCUCCAUCACCAGGAGCAGACUGACACUGAUGCCACAUCUGCCGCCGCUGCUUUUUUUUCCACAACGUAAAAAACUAAAGACACUUUUCUAGUUUAGUUUUUUUAGCAAUCUGCAAACUUUGCCUGCAGCUAACUCAUUUAUUUACUUUAUUUUUAACACACACACACACACACACACACACACACACUCUUUAAUUCCAGUUUAUGAUUUCCAGCAUUUCUCAGGCAGCUAUCAAAAAAGUGUUUGACAGUUUAAAACACCCUGAAUCAAAAUGAGAAUUUAACUUUAUUUCCCUAAGAAGCAGAGUUCCAAGUUUUCAUCCACUAAUUUACAAAGAAAUGAAAUCAGCAGGCCUGAAAGCCUUUUUUAAAGAAAAUGUGUCAUCACAAAUACAGAGCAGCUAUUUGUUUUCCAGACAGAUUUAUAUGAAUAAAAAAAAUCAUAUUCAUGAUUUAAAGAAAUGGAUUUCACUUGUCAGUCAGUGACAAUAGGCAAAAAGUUGCUGACUGUGUUCAAGUCAGACGUCUUGCAGCGUGUUGAAUAAAAAUCAGAGGCACUCUUUUAAAAUGUUUAAUCAUUUCCGCCUGAUUUUUUUUUUUGCUCGGCGUCUUAAUUUGAUAAUUUCUCGUCAGGAAUUCGCCCAUUGUGUCGAGAUCUCACAACCAAAUUGGUUAAUGGUCUAAAUCGACGUUUAAACUGGAGGCGUAGGACGAGUCACACAGACAGACAGACAGACAGACAGACAGGCUGGCUGGCAAGGAGACAAGAUUGAACAUUGAAUAGAAAAUGAAAAUAUUUGACUGGUCUCUUAUGAACGCGACUAUAGAAGUGCAAUUACAAUAAAUUAGGCCUGAUAAAGAAGAAAAUAGUUCUUUUCCUUUAUGCCAUUCAAAGGUGUGACUUCAUUUACAAUUACAGCUUGACCUGGUUUUUAAACUUUCAAUUUUUCCCAAGGCGGCGUGCUUUUCUGAAAACCUAAUUUCUGCUAAAUUACCCAUAUUAGGAAUGCAGUUCAAAACAAUUGAUUUUCUCUCUAAUACCCUCCUCUCCAUCUUUCUCCCAGUCUCCAGUCUCCCUCUCUCCCUAAUUAUUUUCUUCCCCCCGUCUCCCCAUUUGGUUUCAUAGUGAACAAUGCCGAUGCCAACUAAUCAGUCUGUGCCUAUGCCACAGAGCCCCCAGCAACAGCUGAAGGAGUGCCAUGCCCCAUGAAUACCAAACAGCCAGGCACAGUGCGACAAGUGCUGAGCAGUCAGACGCAGCACAGCCAGAGCGGAGCUGGUGCCCACAAAACAGCCAGACAGUUUUAUUAGGGUCUGUCUGACACGCAGCAAAGUCUGGCAGCACACGAGCCCACUGAUGAAAUCCUCACCGCUCCCCCAACAGUAACAAAGCAGCAUGCUCAGAGCAAUCCGCCAAGGAUCCAAUAAAUAUCACCCCGUAAAAAUCAGCUCCCGGCCAGUUUGUAACUCCGCUGAAUGGGGAAUACAAACUUUGUUCAAAGUCAAACUCGCUCUCAGUAAGCAACAAAGUCGAUCUUUUUUUUUGUGUGUGUGUGUGUGUGUGUGUGUGUCAUCUAAACAUUACAGUGCGUCUGACACAAACAGGGGAAAGAAGAGGGAAAUCUCCUUCAAGGACGUUUUGGAAAAUACGUUUGUUUUAUUGACUCGAGGAGGAAAAAAAAGGCAAAUCAUUUCAGCUCUGCAUGUUUGUGCGACAUUAAUCCAAAGGUUAACUUUCAUGUUUCCUUCUUUUCUGCUUCCUCUGUAUUUCUUGAGGAGCUUUAAGUUGUUUCACUUUCUGAAACGUGAAUAUAUUUGACAUGAGAAUGGGUUUGUUUCAGAGUAAGAGCAGUGCUUGUAAUUCUCAAAUGCUCAUUUUUAUUAAAUGUUUUAAUUUGGAUAUAAUUAGAUUGAAUCACAGUUCAUUUGAAAGUGGUCGCCAAGGUCAAAUUACUUAACGGCGGCGUUUAAUAUUGUCUUUUAUUGUCCUUUAAGAGAAGCAUUGAUGUUCUGUUUACACACCUGAUCGAUACGGAUCGAAAUAAAUGACAGUUCAGACAAAAGAGAGUCAGAUCUGCAUAGAAACUGAUUUUGUGCACGAGUAAACGAACGCAGCGCCUGAGCCAAAAUCUAAAUAACAUAAUGCACAGUGAAUAUUAUCGUCCCUCGUCCCUAAAUAAACAGCGUCCGCCGUUUCUGUGUGUGUGUGUGUGUGUGUGUGGUUUCAGCACUCAGCUCGUCUUCUUCAAGUUCCUGCAGGAAAGAUUGAUUCAGACCUUGAAUAGGUGUAGAUAAACCAAAGGCUCCAGCUGAUGGACCCGAGUGUGCGCCAGAGAUUACACUCCAUUGUUCAGAGGUGGUCAUGUAACACACUGCGCCGCCACAUCGCUCCCUGAUAAAAGUAAUAAGGACAGAUUAACAUUUAUCCACACACACACACACACACACACACACACAUUUGGAUUUAGUGAAUCGGAGGACUCGUUUUUUUUGCUCUUCUUCGUUUGUUUCUUGCAUUGAUUGUCAGUUUGUGUUGUCUUGUGAAGCAGCUUAGUGUUCAGUGGAUCUCUUAUCGUGGAGGAGGUGCAGGUGGUGGUGGUGGUGGAUGAAGGGGGGCGUCAGGUAUGCCUGAUAGCGGAGCAGCAUGGAAUAGAGGAGGGGGCAGGGGUGGGGGACGUCUGAGUUUCCAGACACUGCGGCAGGAGGCCAGACAGUCACCUGAACACACACACACACAGAAGUCUGCCUAUAACGACACACACAUCAGAAACAUCCAGACCCCCCCUCACCUCUGAAAGUCUGCACUAAAGCCAAUUCAAUUUAGUUUUUUUUUUUUAAUUCAAUCAGGGGUAUAAAUCAUAGUGCCACUCACAAUGUAAUUAUCCCCGAAUGCAUCGAAAGCACAAAAGUUUCUCUAUUCUCCGGGUGACGGGGACGAGAGAUAAACUCCAUUAACUUUUUUUUCAGAUUACAGUAAGUGCUGUGGGAGAUUGUGGGGACGGGGUGUGGGGGGGGUGUCUGUGGAAAGGACGCUGAGACGCUGAGCGUUUCCACCGUGGGCCUCGUGGGCAUGGAGCAGACGAGUCUGGAAAAGUGGGCCGAUGAUUGAAAAAGCAAACAACAAAGCUCAAAGGGAGCGGACUGAUGGCCUGGCAGGCCGGAGGUCUCUCAGCACGGCCAACUGGAAUGCUGUCAGACCUGGUUUGUUGUGUGUGUGUGUGUGCGUGUGUGUGUGCGCGCGUGUCGGCAUCGCACAUGUGUGUUUGUGUCGGCGGUAUUUGAGGUGUACACCCCCCCUCCAACCUCUCCAACCCCUCUUGCUCGGCUAACUCCCCGGGUCCGGUCUUAUCUCCCCUUCUUUCUCUUCAUCUGUGAUUCACUUCGGAGGCGUUGCCAGGGAAACCUGGUAUCUGGCUAGCAGCUUGAUGGAGUUAUUGAACUGUAACUGGCUGGGAUAAUUAUGCUCUGUCUUGCAGGUUGGCUAUCCAGUGGCUGGGACUUGAAUGUGACCUAUAGCUGGCCUAGCAUUGUCGCCACGGGCGAAAAAAGCUUUUAACCCCCGCGGCCGGCGAGAGCAGCCGAACCGCUGUAACUUUGUGGCAGAGAUGCCCAAUCAGUUUGCACUUUCCUGCCUCCUUCUUUGGUAGCAGAGAUUCAAAUGAGUGUAACUGUAACACACACACAUACUUUCACACACAUGUUCUAGCCUAGUCACAUUCUGGUGGUUUGCUUUGUGUCCCCGAAACAGGUCACGGCCACAAAAUUCCUAGCGUGUCCUCGAGUGCAUCCGCUCGGCUCCCGUGGACACACAUCUCUCUGUCUUUGAUGUUCACAGCACAAAAGAAGCUGGAGUUUAAAUACAGAUAGUGAUGUAAAUAUAUUUAUAGUUUUCUGGAUCAUACCCGCUUUAUAUUGUGCUUGCAGUUUUCUGUUGCACUUCUCCCGAGGGUUUUCCCGCCGGUGAACUCGGUCAAACCUUCCGUGCGUUUUCCAUUUUCCCACGCUCAUUCUAAAUUGCUGUCAUUAUCUCUUCUCGUCUAGGAGUCCUGGCGAUUGUCUGUCUGUCUCCGCGUUUGAAGUGAUGCAGAGGAAGAGGAAGAAGAAAGGUGUGUUGAGGAGGUGGAGGUGGAGGAGGAGGUGGAGGAGGGGGGGAGUUUCCUGCCAACACAGGAGCAGAGUCAGUCCCUUCCCCUCCUCCUCCUCCUCCUCCUCCUCCCCUUUCCCCCUCAGCUCCUCAUUAGUAUGCGGCGGCUGUUGCUCAGGUGACACGGCCACUGGAUUCGGUCCCGGCUCUGCAGGAACAUCAGCAGCAUGGCGGGGAGCGGGAUAGCAGGUAAGGACAAUACGAGAACAGGAGGGGAGGACGGAGGAGAAGGAGGGAUGGACUCUUCUUUAAGGACCCCCGCACACACACACACUUCACACUGCUGUAAUGCACACACACACAUAUUUUCAAGCCUCCCAAAAGCAGGGACGGACAGAAGAAGUGUGUUUUCUUGAAUUAAAAUCACAGUCUGCCGAGUAAUUACUAUUUAAAUGAUUAAUGAGUUAGAAUAUUCUGUAUUUUACUCUACAAAUAUCGUUCUCUCCUGUUUUAUUUGACAGAAAAAUGUUUUAACAUCCACGUCUCAUGUUGUAAAUGUGACUUAUUUCAAUAAAGGUCAAAAAAUAUCA